rnacentral:ncRNA from 2 species
ACACCAUCCAGAGCGGCCGAGAGACCUGGCUCGUCGACGCCGCAGCAACCCCUCAACGGAAGCCUCCCGCGGGGAAGGGUGCUCACGCCAGGACCGAUGGAGA